GAACGAGGGAGCAUUCCGAAAGGGGUGCAAACCGAGUGGCGUAAGGGUGAGUAAUGCAUUGAUAACCUACCUUCGAGAUGAGAAUAACAACGUUCCAAGCAAUUGGGGCUACCGAAAGGGUUGCUAAUACUCAAUGAAACUAUUAUUGCUUUGGUGGUGAUAGUCAAAUAGGCGGAAUCGAAAGAUUCCACUUGCUUGAGGAGGGGUCAAUGUCCUAUCAGCUAGUUGGCAGGGUAAUGGCCUACCAAGGCGAAGACGGGUAGCCGGCCUGAGAGGGUGGUCGGCCACACUGGGACUGAGACACUGCCCAGACUCCUACGGGAGGCUGCAGUCGAGAAUCUUUCGCAAUGCCCGAAAGGGUGACGAAGCGACGCCGCGUGCGGGAAGAAGGCCUUCGGGUUGUAAACCGCUGUCGGGAGUUAAGAAAUGCAUGGAUGUUAAUAGCGUACUUGCUUGACUAAGGCUCCGGAGGAAGCCACGGCUAACUCUGUG
rnacentral:rRNA from 1 species